rnacentral:ncRNA from 1 species
CCAGCCGCCGAAGGUGGGGUAGAUGAUUGGGGUGAAGUCGUAACAAGGUAGCCGUAUCGGAAGGUGCGGCUGGAUCACCUCCUUU